CUAUGAAAGAUAGAAGUCCCCGAAGUCUUACUAUGUGCUGGUCAUGGAUGGAAAUUUCAACACCUAAUUAAAUACCUGGUAGUUCAACACCCACUCUUUUCUGCCACCGGUCCAUGAAGAAGAAGAAAAGCAGCAGUAAUUUUCUCCCUAAAUUUUUAGGUACCCUUUUUAUCCAGGUAAUAAAGAGAGGGGUGUUUUAGCUAGCAGAUUGAAAAAAGAUGUUGGUGCAGGCGUGCAGCAAUUCCCCAAAUUUGAUUUUAGAAGGAAAGGUUUCUGCAGCUGAUGACGGCAGCGUAGCUGGUGGCGACAGAUGGGGUGCUGUUCAGUUUCCAAUCAGGAGCAUGAAGAAGCAGAUGAAUCCUUUCUUUGCCUCCACUGGGCAGCAGUGGAAGGAGCAGAAGCUCGCCGAAAAACCCGCAAGCAACGAACAAAGCACAGAGCAGAGAUGAAAGAACUUAUGUUCCUGGACUGAAGCGUUGGGUUAAUAGGGUUACGGGUUGACAUGAUAGUUUGAUGUGACGAUCGUUCUUGAUGCCACAUUUAAUUAGCUGCCGAUAUCCAAGGUGGAUAUAGCUUCAAUUCAUGGCUUGGGAUCUCUGGGGUUCUUCAUACGACCAAGUUUUCUGCAAAGAUAAUUGCUUGAUCAUCCUGAGUGGCCAUAUGGCUUCUUCUUUGGCUGUGACCCUGAUGUGAUAGAGAAAGAUGCCUUGAAUGAGGAGUACUGUGUUCAGGUUUUAAGGAUUUUGAUCACCAAGGCAGAUACCGAAAUCAAGGAACUUGAAAAGGAUCUAUGGUCCCCUUCAAAAUGAAUUGGCCUGCGCUGAGCAUGAGAAAUGGCCUGAAAUAUGUUGCAGUGCUUUGACCGAAAGAAUCAAUUGGCUGGAUGUUGCAAUUAGUGCUUUGAAGAAAGAUCAUGCUGAUGAAAUAGAGACAGGGCUGCUAUUACACUGUAAGCCUGCUGAGACACUUAAUGAGAUAGUGAAGGCUUUACAAAGGGAUCAUUGACAAGAUGAAAACAGCCAGGUUGGAGAUUUAGGAUAUGCAUCAGAGGUUGGAAACUAUGAUGUGUAUUUAGGAGCUCCAAAUGAGGUGUUAUUUGUAAUUGAUGUUAAUAUCAUAAUUCCUUCACGUUCCAAGUAAACUUUUUUUGUGAAUCUAAUUAUAGCUUUCUCAUGUAUAGGGAUCAGGUCAAGCGACAACAGUUGGUUUAGGAAUUGAACCCUUUGUAAAAUUUGGUCUGUUUUCUAUUUUUUUUUGGAGAACUUUGAAAGGAUCAUUGUUUAGUGGGUUAAACUCCAUAUCAUACCUAUUCAUCAUAGUUGACAAAUGCAUUAAACAUGUAUUCUAAAUCUAUAUACAUACCAUAGAAUGAUUAUAUCUUGGUAAAUUAUAUUUCAAAACAGUUUAAAUGUUAAUUAUGUCUUAUAUGUCUUAAAUAGUUAAAUUGAAUGAUGACAUUAAAUUAUGCAAGGGGAUUUGUUUUGCUGCCUUGCUUUCAUAUGCUUUGGGUUGUUUUCAUUAGGUGUUUUUGCUAUUUGAAGCUCUGCUACUUUAGUUUUAUAUGUUGUUAUCACAGUAUUAUGUUGUUGUUAUUGGUGAUUACAUGUGAUGUCUAAUGCUUUUCUUUGUGUCGUGCAAGAAGGUCAGGGUGUUGUCCCAAAGGUUGCACCAUGAGGUCGCUGUUUUGAAAUUGAAGAAAGGGGGUAUUAACUGGCUCGGUUAAUUUUUAACCUAUGUUGCUGUUGGGUUUGGUGACUGAUGAAGCUUGGUAUGAAGAAGUUUCUUCAUUCACUUUCUCUAUAGGUUAAUUAAUUAUUAUUUACAUUGUUUAUUGUUCUGGAGUUUCAUAGUUGCAAUGGCAAGAAAUAGCCAUUUUAUUUAGAGCUUACAAGGUGCCAGAUUUACAUAUCUGUGUCAUGCAUUAUAUCCUUCAAUAAUUGUUUGCUUGCAAUAUAUUUUCUAAGUCAACUCACGAAACAUUGGCAUCAAACCUUUAUCGGAAAAAGGUACUCUUCAACUAUCUUUUCACCAAAUAAUUAUGACUUUCUUGAUUUAGUUUGUAGUAUUCUUCCAUUUUGUUUCAAAAUAUAUUUCAACAAUCAGUUCUGGUUUUCUGUUUGUAAUAACAAGUUGAAAGAAUUGUUGAUCAUUUGAUAGGAGACAAUAAAAACAGGUUGCUUUUCUGUUGGGUAAGUAUUGUUAAGUAACAAGUGUGAAGGAUAGUUAGUCUUAUAUUAAAUGAAAGAAUCCUGCUAGGGAGCCAAUGGAGUAUCUGUACUAAACAUCUGAUAUCCUAUUGAAUCGAACGUCUCAAAAGUCUAAACCCCAUUGUACACAUUGUACAUAUACUCUAUUGGCUCCCUAUACUUCCUCUAAAUGAAAUAAUGUGUGAGAGUUUAUGAAAUGAGAAAUUUAUCUAUUUAGUGCGAUAAGCUUUUUAAGUUGGUGUGGUAUAUUCUGUCACUUGAUUCUUAUACAAGUGAUUGACUAUUUUAUUCUUUUGUUGGUAUUGUAAUAUGAUUGCUAAAAUAUUACUCUUAUAUAUUUUUAUUUUUUUGAUACAAACAAUAAAUGUACUGUUUUGCUCCUCUCAUAAUCUUUGUCAUGAGACGGAUAAAAUUUUUUUAUUUGUUUUAAUUUAAACCUUUUCUCUGUGGCCAUAGGAAAACAACUUGGUGACAUUGAUUAUUGGAAUAAACCAUGUUCUUCGUGCUUUUGAUCUAUAUUUAUUUAUAUACAAAAUGAGUAUCAUUGCACCAAAAUAAGUUUCAAUACUUUUAAAGUAAACUCUAAGUUUGUGAAAUUUAAGGAUUUGAGAAUGCACUGAAAGAUGAAGCUGCAAUUUUGAUCGGCAAGACACUGGAAGAGAGUCACGGCACUUGAAGUUGAUUUCAGCACAAAUUCAAUUACUAGGUCCAGAAUUCGAGCUUUGGCUGAAGUUGUUGUGCAAAAACCUAGAUUUAAGUUGCUAAACAUUAAUGCUAACUUCAUAUCUGACGAAGGGAUAGAAAACUUGAAGGAUAUAUUUAAAAAUUCACCUGAUAUGCUGGAUAUGUACUUUAGAUGAGAUCUUGAAGGAGAAGACAUUCAUGAGGAUUCUUAAGAAAAUGAUGACCCCAAUGAACUGGAAUCAAAACUCAAGGGCCUUGAUAUUUAGGAAGAUUUAUAGGACAUAGGCAUCCAUCUUUUAUAUUAAAUUAAUUUGUAGUCAUCAUCUAUUGUAUUUUAGAAUUCUGAAUUCCAUAUUUCCAUGUCUCAACAUUUUUAAAGCUUACCAGUUAUAUCCAUAUGUCUGGCAAGACGAGAAAUGGUAUUAACUUUAUAAUCUUUUGAGCUCAAUUAUGUUUUUUUGUGGCUGUUCUU